GGCGCGGGACGCGGCCCCGUGAAGGGCUGUGGGGAGGAGGUUUGCCUUCAGCGGAGCGGUCUUUUCGACGCCAACGCCGAACGGGAGUAAUCUGUGGAGCUGAGAGAACGCUGAGUGAGGGGCGCUGAGCGGGAGAGCCCGGCAGCACCGAUGGCUGUGUGGUGGUGCCUGAACCCCUCAGAGGUGGGCUGUGCAGGCGUCGGAGCCCUGCUCCCCAUAACAGCAUUGCCAAGAGCAUCCCACCAUGGGUGCAGCCGUUCAGGAGCAUCUUCAGGGUGUCUUGAAAACUAAUGGAGUCUACAUUAUGUCAUCAGUCUGGUAGGAUCGGGUGGAGACGUGACAGCCUUGGAAUGCACGCAUCGGUGGUGCCAGCUCAGCGCUGAGCGCAGCCCUCACCGCGCAGUGCUCUCUGUACUCUGGGAGAGUCCCUUUCAACCAAACCGGAUUGUAUUCCGCUCCGUUCCUCUCCGUUCCGUUCCGGGCUCUCCCGCGGCUCCCAGUCGCUCCCUGCCG
rnacentral:lncRNA from 1 species